CCCUAGUUCUUUUCCCAGAGUUAGGAGUCUUUAUGCUUAGAUCUUUAAAUAAUCAAAAGUAUUUAGGUGUAAGACCAAACGAGGUAGAGAACAUAAUAACUAUAAAGAAUAGUUAAAUAAAGAAAAGGAGGAGAUUAUGGUGGCAAAAUAUUACGUUAGCCAGCAAAUAAUUCAUUAGGAGAAGAAAUCUUGAUUAGUUCAGGAAAAAUGGACAAUCAGACCCACCUAUGCCUACGUGGUCCCUAUGGUUCAUUAUGUUACUGUGAAAAUAAUGACUAAAACUAGCUCCCAGCUCAUUUCUAAGGGAGGAGUCGAUUUCCUGACUCCUUGACAGCAAGCUGAGGAAUAUGAUUUUCUUUUGUCAGUGAAAUAUAAGUGGAAAUGGGAUGCGAUGCUUCCUAGCAAAAACUUUAAGAGCCCUCAUGAGAAUCUGCCAUUUCUCUUUGCCCUCUACUGUGACGUCAGAUGUCCCAGAUAGGGACUGUUCUUCAGCCCAGGUCCCCAAAUGAGAAGGACAUGUAGUAUAUUCAUAUCCAAAUUGUAGGGGCAUAAAUGUGAGCCCAGUGAAUUAACCUUUGCUUUUAUAAGCCACUGAUGUUGGAAAUCUUUUAUUCCUGCUGCACAGCUUAACCUAAGCUGAUGAAAUUUUCUCUACAUCUGUAGAGGAUAUUGAGAAAAUGGUCUGGUCUUCUGAGAGGAUGUUCUGAGAGGAGUGGUAUUGUGACCUAGAGAACAACAGAGUUCUAGGAAUUCCAAGCUUCUACAAAUGUGAUUCCACAUCAGAAUUGCCUAGGAGCUGGUGAAACCUGCAAAUUCACAGGCCUCAUCUCUGCAUCGGCAGGCAGAUCUGAAUAUCUGGAGAGGGGUUUAUGUUUCUGCAUUUUCACAGACUCCUCAGAUGAUUGUUGUACUAACCCAAACCUGGAACCGACUGCUCCCAAUUAUUGGCAUUCUCCAUUUCAUCAUUGUGAUCUUCUUGGCCACACUUAACAAGUUCUGGUUUCUCCGGUAUCAGACACAACUCUUCCUGAACACUCCUCCAGCCUCAUUACACUUUCUCUGCUUUACGACAAUGCCAGAUUUCAUUUUGGCAGUGAUUUUGUUAAGAUGGCUAAUGCAAAGCGGAUCUUGAGGGAAACAUGUGUUUUUCAGUCUUAAUAACUCUUGUGAAGAACUAUUAAGACUUCAUGGACUGAGGGUCCCCCUCCUUUGCAUUUCAUUUAGUUUUACUGUAAUGCCUCUGCCAAGUUGAUGUUCCUCGUCUGAAUAUUCCUGACCCUGAAUACUGCUGGAAAUUGGUAACCAGCUGUACAGAAGGUGUUUGUUUGCUGAUAUUUACUGAAACAACGCUUCUAUUCCUGUAACCAAAAUCAGCAAGCUUAACAAAUUAAAUAAUUAAAGGCUGCUAGAAAUCGACCUUGGUGCAAGGCAUAUCUUUCUCCAUUUUUCCUCAGUGGCACAUGUUUCAGUGCAAAAUAUUCACUUGAUCAUGGGGAAAGGGUAAGAACAUAAGGGGAGGAAUGCAUAAAAAAAAAAAAAAGCCAGUGUGUGAGUGUAUGGUUGAUGGCUGGCUGGGACUUGAAAGAUCAGAGGAACAGAAUUUUUAAAAUCUAAUUUCCAGUGGGCCAGAAAAAUCAUUCCUUGUCCCUCUACUCUGGAUUGCGUUAAAAACCUAUACCCAAUUUCAUUAGAAUCAUGUUCAUAAGGACAAAUAAAUAAACAAGGACCAAAAACA
rnacentral:lncRNA from 12 species